rnacentral:rRNA from 1 species
GAUGAGCGCUGGCGGCGUGCCUAAAACAUGCAAGUCGUGCGGCAGCGGGCCUUCGGGUGCCGGCGAGCGGCGGACGGGUGAGUAACGCGUAGGAACGUACCCCAAAGUGAGGGAUAAGCUCCGGAAACGGAGUCUAAUACCGCAUAUGCUCUUAGGAGUAAAGGAGUAAUCCGCUUUGGGAGCGGCCUGCGUCCGAUUAGUUUGUUGGUGAGGUAAUGGCUUACCAAGACGAUGAUCGGUAGCUGGUUUGAGAGGAUGAUCAGCCACACUGGGGAUGAGACUCGGGCCAGACUCCUACGGGAGGCAGCAGUUAGGAAUUUUCCACAAUGGGGGCAACCCUGAUGGAGCAACGCCGCGUGCAGGAAGACGGCCUUCGGGUUGUAAACUGCUUUUAAAAGUGAAGAUUAUGACGGUAACUUUAGAAUAAGGAUCGGCUAACUCCGUGCCAGCAGCCGCGGUAA